ensembl:miRNA
CAUUUUACAGAUUAAACAGUGAGGCAUACUUGUGCUUCAGUGUUUAAUCUGUAAAAUGGA